CAUAAGGUGGCCUAGUGGUUAAGGUGAAAGACUUAAGGAAUAGGGUGAAGGAGGUUGUGGGUUCGAGUCUCACCCAUAGCA